GUAGCCAUGUCCUUCAAUGCACUCUCAAUUGUUCACCACUGUUAAGAGCUGCUCAGAAUAAUGGAACUGCCUUGUUUGGAUCCUUUUCAAUUAAUUGGAAUAAUAGAAGCAAAGUUAGACACAAGCUUAUCUUAUGAAAGCUCUUACGAUCAAGAUUGUAAAUGCAUCUUGAUUGAUUCACAAGUCUGCAAGUGCCAAAGAUAAAAAAUACACUGUGUAAACACAGGUAAUGCACAAAAGCAUUUCAGUCCAUCAGGGAAUGAGCACCUGUUACAACUACUAGUGAGACACACAUAGUGCAGUAGACCAUCACAUCUUGCCAAACCAUUUCUAUAUAAUCGUUUGGUACAACAGACUUCGACGUUUACAAUCAUAGUGUUUAGGAUACCUAUUUAUUUUUCUAAGAUCGGUGCUUUAGCCUACUACACUAGAAGCAAUACCAACUGCUACUUUCUACUCUCCUCAUCCGUGAGAGGAAUAAGUAAAUCAAACACUCAUACACGUUCAACACCACCCUCCACGACCCAAGUAGUUAUCAAUUAAACAGGAAAAAAACUAUUAAAUAUUUCUUUUUACACCACAUGGAAAACCGAAAUCCAUCACCCACAAUGUGUGUCAUACUGCCGAGCAUGGCUAGUAAUAACUAUGGCAACAAAACAAGGUUGUCCAUGGAAUUUUAGACAUAACAACACUUAGAGCUCUCGCCUGCUGAGCUAGAUGGUGGUGCUCCUAAACCUAAAAGACGCACCUGCACUCUAACAUCAGUGUUAGAUAACUUACCAGAAUCUGAUGACUGGGAGCAAUGGCAACACAAAACUAUCAAAGAAGACUACCUGCAAACAUGUAUCCUUAUUUAUGGAGCAGAGUUGAUGCAUCAAUGUAGAUGCAGCGUACCAAAUCAAUGGAAUAUGAACCAAAAUAGCAGAAUCUAGAUUCAGAAUCUGACCAAUAAGCAAGAAAGAGGAACCGAGAGCGUCGCUGAACUGAUUUUGUUGCUUGGAGAGCCAAGUUGAUAAGGUCAAGGAGCCUCAGACCAGCAUC
rnacentral:lncRNA from 1 species